CCUACGGGGGGCUGCAGUGGGGAAUAUUGGACAAUGGGCGAAAGCCUGAUCCAGCCAUGCCGCGUGUGUGAAGAAGGCCUUCGGGUUGUAAAGCACUUUCAGUGGGGAAGAAAGCCUUGGGGCUAAUACCCUCGAGGAAGGACAUCACCCACAGAAGAAGCACCGGCUAACUCCGUGCCAGCAGCCGCGGUAAUAAGGAGGGUGCGAGCGUUAAUCGGAAUUACUGGGCGUAAAGCGCGCGUAGGCGGUCUGAUAAGCCGGUUGUGAAAGCCCCGGGCUCAACCUGGGAACGGCAUCCGGAACUGUCAGGCUAGAGUGCAGGAGAGGAAGGUAGAAUUCCCGGUGUAGCGGUGAAAUGCGUAGAGAUCGGGAGGAAUACCAGUGGCGAAGGCGGCCUUCUGGACUGACACUGACGCUGAGGUGCGAAAGCGUGGGUAGCAAACAGGAUUAGAUACCCUUGUAGUC
rnacentral:rRNA from 1 species